UACGAAGGGGGCUAGCGUUGCUCGGGAUCACUGGGCGUAAAGGGUGCGUAGGCGGGUCUUUAAGUCAGGGGUGAAAUCCUGGAGCUCAACUCCAGAACUGCCUUUGAUACUGAGGAUCUUGAGUUCGGGAGAGGUGAGUGGAACUGCGAGUGUAGAGGUGAAAUUCGUAGAUAUUCGCAAGAACACCAGUGGCGAAGGCGGCUCACUGGCCCGAUACUGACGCUGAGGCACGAAAGCGUGGGGAGCAAACAGG
rnacentral:rRNA from 1 species